GGUGAGUAACGCGUGGGUAACCUGCCUCAUACAGCGGGAUAACAGUUGGAAACGACUGCUAAUACCGCAUAAGCGCACAGGAUCGCAUGAUCCGGUGUGAAAAACUCCGGUGGUAUGAGAUGGACCCGCGUCUGAUUAGCCAGUUGGCAGGGCAACGGCCUACCAAAGCGACGAUCAGUAGCCGACCUGAGAGGGUGACCGGCCACAUUGGGACUGAGACACGGCCCAAACUCCUACGGGAGGCAGCAGUGGGGAAUAUUGCACAAUGGGGGAAACCCUGAUGCAGCGACGCCGCGUGAGCGAAGAAGUAUUUCGGUAUGUAAAGCUCUAUCAGCAGGGAAGAAGAAUGACGGUACCUGACUAAGAAGCACCGGCUAAAUACGUGCCAGCAGCCGCGGUAAUACGUAUGGUGCAAGCGUUAUCCGGAUUUACUGGGUGUAAAGGGAGCGCAGGCGGUGCGGCAAGUCUGAUGUGAAAGCCCGGGGCUCAACCCCGGUACUGCAUUGGAAACUGUCGUACUAGAGUGUCGGAGGGGUAAGUGGAAUUCCUAGUGUAGCGGUGAAAUGCGUAGAUAUUAGGAGGAACACCAGUGGCGAAGGCGGCUUACUGGACGAUA
rnacentral:rRNA from 1 species